CAUAGGUGCCAUUCUUCCCGCUAUGCAUACUACUAGGUGAUCUUUAGCUCCAGCACCACAAAUCCCAAACCAUCUGCUCAAACUUGAGGUCUUCAGGCCUCUGUGAGCUUCAAAUUGAUGGACUUUCCAACCUGGCAGGCACAUCCAUCCUGGAGAAUAGAAGAUGGGGAGUAGAGAAUGGAGCCACCAUCAUGAGUCACUGGCAUCUGCAUCCAGUUGUAAGUGUGUAAUGAGAACCUCAUGUCUCGCUGGCUGGGCUGCAUUCGUCUGGACACUGGUCAGGGAGUAGCCAUCUCCAGAAGGGCCUUACUUGGGGCCAGGCCAGAGCUGCUGCAUCUGGACUUCUUCCUAUAUCAUGACAACCCUUUUUCCUGUGGGAGUUUAGAAGUGGGGAAGCUCAGAGAACAGCCGCCCUCCAUCCAGGCAGGGAUGUCGAGCUGCUGGUCCACGUUGUUGGGCAUGGAAUAUGUGGCAAGAGAGCAGGACACUGGCUGAAUGGAGUGACCAGUGGACGGUAUGGAGUCAGGGGCAACUCUGGAGAUGGACUAUGUUCAAAAGCAACUAGCCACCAUGGCCCAGACUGGAAGGAGGACUGUGAGUCACCCCCACGACAGGAUGUGAGCCUUCAGCUUCCGCUCCAGCCUCACUGCCUGCCCCCAUGGCCUCUGCUCUGCCUUCGUGGACCUAAGCCUCUGGGACCAUAAGCCCCAAUAAACUAUUUCUUCUUUAA